AGAGUUUGAUCCUGGCUCAGAACGAACGUUGGCGGCGUGGAUUAGGCAUGCAAGUCGAACGAGAACGUCACCUUCGGGUGGCUAGUAAAGUGGCGAACGGGUGAGUAUCGCGUGGGAAAUCUACCCUCGAGUUGGGGAUAACACUCCCAACGGAGUGCUAAUACCGAAUAAGACCACGGAGUCGCAUGGCUCAGCGGUCAAAGGUGGCCUCUACAUGUAAGCUACCGCUUGAGGAUGAUCCCGCGUCCCAUUAGCUUGUUGGUAGGGUAAUGGCCUACCAAGGCUACGAUGGGUAGCUGGUCUGAGAGGAUGGUCAGCCACACUGGGACUGAGAUACGGCCCAGACUCCUACGGGAGGCAGCAGUCGAGAGGCUUCGGCAAUGGGGGAAACCCUGACCGAGCGACGCCGCGUGGGCGAUGAAGGCCUUACGGUUGUAAAGCCCUGUCAUGAGGGAAGAAAUGCACGUUGUCAAACAGGCUACGUGUUUGACGGUACCUCAAGAGGAAGCUCCGGCUAACUCCGUGCCAGCAGCCGCGGUAAUACGGGGGGAGCAAACGUUGUUCGGAAUUACUGGGCGUAAAGGGCGCGUAGGCGGCUCGAUUAGUGGAAUGUGAAAGACCCUGGCUCAACCAGGGACGGGCAUUCCAAAACUGUCGAGCUUGAGUAUAGGAGAGGGUGGGGGAAUUCCCGGUGUAGCGGUGGAAUGCAUUGAUAUCGGGAGGAACACCAGUGGCGAAGGCGCCCACCUGGCCUAAUACUGACGCUCAGGCGCGAAAGCUAGGGGAGCAAACAGGAUUAGAUACCCUGGUAGUCCUAGCCGUAAACGGUGAGCACUAGGUGUAGGAGGCAUCGACCCCUCCUGUGCCGCAGCUAACGCAUUAAGUGCUCCGCCUGGGGAGUACGACCGCAAGGUUGAAACUCAAAGGAAUUGACGGGGCCCCGCACAAGCGGUGGAGCAUGUGGUUUAAUUCGAUCCUACGCGAAGAACCUUAUCCUGGAUUUGACAUGCACGGAUGGGCUACCUGAAAGGGAUAGCUCCUGCCUUCGGGUGAAACGUGCACAGGUGCUGCAUGGCUGUCGUCAGCUCGUGUCGUGAGAUGUCGGGUUAAGUCCCUUAACGAGCGAAACCCUUGUCACUAGUUGCCAGCGAGUAAUGUCGGGGACUCUAGUGAGACUGCCGGUGUUAAACCGGAGGAAGGUGGGGAUGACGUCAAGUCCUCAUGGCCUUUAUGUCCAGGGCUGCACACGUCCUACAAUGGCGCGCACAAAGGGAAGCCAACCCGCGAGGGUAAGCAAAUCCCAAAAAUCGCGCCCCAGUUCGGAUUGCAGGCUGAAACCCGCCUGCAUGAAGCCGGAAUCGCUAGUAAUCGUGGGUCAGCAUACCACGGUGAAUGUGUUCCUGAGCCUUGUACACACCGCCCGUCAAGCCACGAAGGUGGGGGGCGUCCGAAGUCGCCGAGGUAACCCGAAAGGGAGCUAAGCGCCGAAGAUGAACUCCGCGAUUGGGACUA
rnacentral:rRNA from 1 species